rnacentral:lncRNA from 1 species
AGGGGAUCUCCCUUCCCUUUUUCAAUGGACUAGCACAGGACCUGCCCACAGAGGCCCUAACUCAGUGCUCUCUGAAUGAAUGGAUGAAUGGGUACAGGGAAUAUCACUGAGGCUCAGAGAGGUAAAAUUAAUUUGGCUGAAGUCAAACUGAACAAUGAGGGCACUGUGGCUCAAACUCACAUCACUGGAAUUCCAAGUAUAUGUACCUGACGUUACAUAAUAUUGUCUCUGUGGAAUGCUUUGAGGAAAGGAACCUAAGAUUUUGGAACUCUGAGACUAUGCUGAAUCUGCUAAAAUUUUGAGAUGCUCUCUGUUCUGGAGGUGACACGGGGUGACAGUGGUGCUCCAUAUUCCUGAAGACACCUGGAAAUAUUGUGGGACGUGCCCUGAGUUGACAUCAGGCAGGUCCUACCUUCCUGAUUGGCCCCUGUUGGUGCUUGAAGAGCCCACUGAAACAACAGACUGAGCAAAGACUUUUAAACGCUGCACGUGGAAUCUACCUCAAAGAAUAUCUAGUUCAAACUGGUCAUUUUGCAGAUGAGAAAACUGAGGUCCAGGACCAUGAAGAGUUAACAGAGGAUUAACACUAAGGCUCUGUCCCCUGAUUUCCAUCCCAGUGGUCUCUUUCCAGCACACAGGCUGUGCCACAGAUUUUAUAGGCAUCUGGAAUUUUGCUGGCAGGGUUACUUCUAAGAAAUCUUUCGGUGGAAUCUCUUUAAGUGGCCCCUGGAAUGUAAGCACUAUGGGCAGUCUGUAGUGACCCAGAGCUCCAAAACAGAGUUUCUAAACAGGCAUGGCAGCAAAUCCCAGCAACAUCAGGCAGAUGCUUUAGACAUUUAAGGAUCUGCAGAUACUGCAGAAUCCCUCAGUUGUGUGGUCAGCACAUUACAACUCACAUAACUGUAAAAUUUUGCUGCAAUAAAAAUUAUUUUUAUAAUAAAAAACAUACUGUUAUAAAAGUAUUACCACUGGUAAUAGCACCUGUUUUGACAUCACUUUAUAAAGACUUUUCCUGUAAUUAUUUCAUCUUGUCUUCACAAAACCUGUGAUGUCGUAUGAGCAUACCUAUUUCCAUAAAAGGAAACUGAGGCUCAAAGGGAUUAAGUGAUUUGUUUAAUGGUACUCAGUUAUUAGGCAGCAGAACAGGAACCUGAAUGCCAACUCCCCUGCUUCUAUACUUUGCUCCUACUAAUCACAAUCCCUCUUGAUAUGAGCUUUAAAAUGACUUUCUUUGCAAGUUUCAUGAGCAUGUUGAUAAACAAAGGUCUCUAGGAAGUCCAAAUGUUUUUUCGCUGACUACCGCCUGGCUUCUAGUUCUCUUUCAAUCUUUUAUUUUUAGUCUCCUUUGCAUUUAAGUUUGAGACAAUAAGAUCCUGAGGAGCUUGACUGUGGCCUGGGCCUGGGGAUACUUCAGGAUUGUGAACUCAGGGAAUCUGAGGCAGGAAUUAAAAGGUACAUGAACACAAAUAGGAACACAUCUUCUCAAGAACUUAGGCUUUUUUUUUUUUUUUGGAUAGGCCUCAGCCUCUUUAGUAGCUGGGACCACAGGUGCACCACCAUGCCCAGCUAUUUUUUUUUUUUAAUUUUUUGAGACAGGGUCUCCCUAUGUUGCCCAGGCUGGUCUUGAACUCCUAGGCUCAAGCAAUCCUCCCACCUCAGCUUCCCAAAGUGCUGGGAUUACAGGCAUGACUCACUAUACCUG